AACAGAGGGUUAUUUGUCUGUGACAUCUGUCAACUCAUUAAUCAUGAGCAUUGAUUCCACUGAUCUGGUUGGCUAGACAGGGUGUCCCCUUCCUACCUCACUGCUCCAUGUGUCCUUCCCAAAGCUGCAUGAUUGGUUGAAGAAUCUGAUCUGCCCACUAGAGAAGAAGCAUUCUUUCCUCAAGUUUAUAGGAAUAACUGCACUCCCCAGCUAGAUCCUCCAAACAAGUUCACAAGGUCCAUUUGUAGAAUAAGGUAGGGUAAUCAAUCUUUCAAUACUUGAGAUACAUUCAAAUGAGGUGUUCUAUGUGGCAGUCUGUCUUUCUUG
rnacentral:snRNA from 1 species